AUUUUAUGCCGUUUUCUUCAUCUCUUCACAUGACGCCAGACAAAAGAGAAAACUGACGCUCUGGCGGUUCUGCCGCUUUCACAUUCCUUAUACACUUGGACAAAACGACGUUAAGAUGACGAGGAUACGUACAGUUUUUUGUUCAAAUUUGGUCUUCUGGGCCAAGCGUUUUAUGCGUUGUAUAACGUGAUUUCGUGAUAUGUUACGCGGGAUAAAUUCUCAUACUACAUCUGUCGAGCCAAGGAAAACAUGGGGUCGCGAGGAAUGGCUUCGACCUUUUUGUUCCAACACGUCGCAUGCCAAAGAAAAUGGACGCGAAGACUCGUGAGUGAUGCGUAUUUAGCGAAGUUAUUCCGUCGCUAUACGUGGUCGGCGAAGCGGACAAACUACAUUUCUCGACGAGUUCAAAAACUGUAUCCAUGAACAGAUCAUCUGCCACGCGGAUGUUUUCUAUAUCUUAUAAUGUUCACAAAAAUAGACAAAUUAAAACUCUUAACCACAUUGAAAAACAGAGACAAGAUUGUGGAGCUUUUUAAAUUAAACGAACCACGAAAUGCAAUAGGACAACGAGGCAAUCUUCAAACACUAUGGUGUCAUCUACAGACGUUCAUGCGUUAUACAAUAAAAAAGAUCUCUAUAAUAUAUUGGUGUAGAUGAAGGAUUAUACUGCAUUACAACUUCAGGUUGGUACUAUUUUAAGUAAUGAAUAUAUACGAUAUUUAGACGAACAUUCGCUUAUUAUACGACAUUCAGACGAAGUUUAUACGACAUUCAGACGAAGUCCGUAAAUUUAAACCCAUUUUAUUUUAUUUGAAUACUACAAUAUUACGAAGAACGAUAACUUAAAACUGAUUGGUCAGUGCGUCAUGACGUAACGUAUUCAUUCAUGAUGUCAAAUUCG
rnacentral:lncRNA from 1 species